GCAUUGUUCCCUAUGUGCAGCAGAGAAAGCAAGUGGUCAUUUCUGGUGGGGUCCUACUGCUUGUAACACAGGAAGUGGGGAGAGUUGAAGCAAAAGACAGACGAAAUCUAGUAAAACUCAGCUGCAGUCAGAAGAUUAUGCUGCAAUGAAGGAGCUCUUGCCUCUUUUAGACCAAAUAUCCCAAUGGCACCCUGAACAAGUUAUCCAAGAACUGGCCUCGGAUUUAUUGCCAUGCACGAAGCAUUCACCACUGAGACUGUGGCCAAGGCAGCUCGCAACACAGCGGGGAAAGAGGAACCAAUCCCAGGGAGACCUUCUGAAAAUACUGCAUCCAAAACGACUGAGAAAAAAGAGCGAAGAAACAGUGACAAGACACCAAAGAGGAAUCAGGUGCGCCAGGCACUGGUGUGACGAGUUAGACAGACACUGCACACUGUAAAACCGCAGACCCAGUUCCAGAUCCCGUGGCUCAAAGCAGCAACAGAGGAGAUCCACGUGCUGAUCCUGCAGAGGCCAGGAGACUGCUGUCUGAAUGUCUUCUUGAAGCGGUAGACCCUGAAGUUCCUACAAGAGAAGCUGCCUUAAGAACACUGACUUGUAUGGUUGAGAAUAGAAAUGAUGAGGCACUACACAACCAUGACAAACUAUUAACACUAUUUCUGGAGAAUCGACUCCUUUGUGUAUUUAUCUACCAUUCAAGGUCUCACUGUGUUCUCGGAUGUCUUUCCUGAGCAGAUCUUGCUGCGGCUGCUGAAGGAGUUUGAGGAAAGUCCUAAAGAGACGAAGAAACCCUGUUCCCUUGAGACCAGACUUAAAACAGGAGAGGCUCUAAGGAGAGCAACCAGGGGACUGACUGGGGGACCUGGCCUUUCGAUUUGGGACACCCCUCAUCCGCGCUUUCCUGAGAGGAACCAGAAACAGCGACAGCCAGCAGCCUGUCUAACUUCGGGGAGCUGUGCCAGAGACUGCACUUCGCACUGGGGGCGGUGGUACACAAGGUGCUCAGUGACGUGCUGCGGGAUCUGUACCAUGUCCUCAAGCAUGUGGUGCAGCACGACCGCGAUGAUGUCACCAUGCUCCACGCCCAGCUGGUGCUGAAAGAGCUUGAUGAUGUCAUGUGGCGCUACAUCUUCCCAGCACAGAAACUCGAGAAGAAGAUCGUGGUGAUCCCUUAGAUCUUGCCGUCUCUACACAACACUGUAUUGUAUAAUGCUUGUAAUAUGUUUCUGCUCAUUUUAAAUUUCUAUUAAAUGCCUUGAACUGCGAGUUUGCUGUUAAAUCUACCAUCACCGGGGAUCGCCAAAGUUGGUUGUGCCGAAAAUGGGUAGAGAAGGGGUUGUAUUUAGUUUUAUCUUGGCUGCCAUACUUUGUGUUGAAGACAGAGGCUCUAUUUAAAUAACCACAGUACAUGAAUGUAUGCUGGUGUAGACACAGAGACUACUAUAGUCUGAGUUGUUGCAGAGUGAAUGGUUGACAGAUCAUUUUGUUACAAGCGAAUAUAUUAGAAAUAAUAAAAAAAAAACAGAACAUUUGAAUAGACUUACUUUAUAAAAAAUAAAGAAUACCUGUAAUAUAUAUAUUAAAACCAUACAAAUCAAUCUUGUACUUGUGUUUCAUAUUGUUAGUCACACAAUUCAUCAGCACUAGAAUACUGUAAAGGCUCUAAUGUACUGCAUGGAAUCAGCUAUUGCAGUACAAUGAAAGAGCAAUAAAAGAAUGAUAAAAAUCAACAUACUGGGCACUACAAUAAUAGACACAUGUUCCUAUCUGCACAUACCAGAAUUGCCUGCACUGCUUUCAUUCAUACUAUCCAAGGGCAUUUAGGGUACUAUGAUGCUAAAUAACCUUGGUGACACUAAUGUUCUUCUGACGACCAAAAAAAAAAAGCCUUCCCCGGCUGCACUAUUUAUAAGAAUCACUGAUCCCCUUUUUCCGAGGCUGAAGCUAUUACUUUAAUUACCAUUCUGCCAUGUGCUGCAGUUUUUUGGUACCUAGCUGUAGUGCAGGCAGCUGUGUUCAUCUAUAUUGCUGCAAAACAGAGUGAAUGCCCUUUUAGGAUUCCUUGUGCAGUUUGAUAUAUUCGGCAGCAGGAUUUAUAGAUAUUAGAGUUGAUAUGAAAUAGAAUGAAUGGGGUGAAAGUUUCACUCAGCCAGCACUGGACUGCAGUAUGAAUAUUAAUUACACAGAGCUUUUUUUUUCUUCUUUCCACCUCCCCUCCCACAUUCCCUGUGCCUUUGGAUCUACUAGCGUAAGGGAGAGCCGUAUUUUAUACAGGAUGUAUUGACAUGCUAAGAUGAUUGGAUACUACGUUAAUGAAUUGAUAAGAAAUCCAUUUCCAUGAUAUAAUU